GAACUUAGGUUAACUAUAAACCAAGGACCUUCAAAGCCCUAAAUACGAGCCCCCGCUCAUAGUUCCUG
rnacentral:tRNA from 1 species